GCGUCGGGCGUCGGGCGUCGGGCUCGGAGGCCCCUGCCCAAGCGCCCCUUGUCUGGGAACCGGCCCUUUUCUAACAAGCCGUUCUUGAAUGAGUUUUCACGGCACCAGCUCUCGUCGGUUGACUUUCCCCUAGAGCAGCGGUGUCUCCUUUGAUCAAUUCAUUCUUUUAAGAUGUCGUUUAUCCAUUCAUGAGACACGGACGGAGGCAGAGACGGGCCGACGGAGGGGCAGGCCCCGCGGGCAGCGCGCUGCGGGCGCGGGCGGGGACGGGACCCUCCGCGGAGCCGCCGGGCCUUGCUGUUGAGGCUUCUCUGCCCCGCACUCGUGGUUCAGCGGACUCCACCCUCCCUCGCUUCUUGCGAAAGAAGACAGAAAUAGCUGACUCCCUCAUACUCUUCUGUAGUACAAAGGAUUUGGGGAAUGCCCCCUUUCUCAGGCAGGAACACUCAAGCCAGAGAAAGGGAACGAAGUUGACGUCUCCAGUUCUAAGUUCUAUUUGCAAAUUCAGAUACUUGCGUGUUGUCAUUUAGUACAAACAUCUGGAGGCAACCCAGAGAGUAGUGUAGAACUAGGAUAUAUGAAAGCGUGAACAGAGAUGAGUCAAGGCUGCAUUUAAGGCAAGGAUGACUCAGGAUAACGUGGAGAGCCAGCAGAGACCACAGAUGGCUGAGGGGCCAGAGAAGAGAGUCAAGGGAGGGAACAGCCCUUUGGGAGGAAGGCAGCAGAGAAGUUUCAAAGAGAAGAGAAAUUACGGAAGUCCUGGGACACUCAGGUCAGCAUUCACAUCUUUAUUAGUGCUAGGCCAACGGGAGCAGUAAAAUAUAGAUGCAGUUGCUCACCAGACGCUUCACAGCCUCGUGAAAAGCUCAAGAGAUUUACUCAUGGCCCAAGUGCACCCGAAAGAAUUGCUUUCAAGGGACACCACAGCUGAAGACUGAAGAGUAAUAUUUAUCAACGUUAAACGACACUUGGUGAAGUAUGCAUAAAUAUUUCUUCAUAUAAACAGAGCACGAAAUUAAAUAGUUCAGAAACACAAACAGCACUGAGUCCACAUCCACUGUCGUCAGCUGUAAACACCAGCUCACACUGAACACAAAAGCAGCUGCUACCCUGGCCCUGGGUCCGAGACGUGAGGCUCUGUACAAGAAACGGAAGGAAAUCAACCAGAAGCAAUACUUUUCAAAACAUUCAUAUUUUCUCCAGAGGACACACGAGUUCCCAAACCCCACCUAUGCCUGGGUGAAGGUGACACAACAAACCCUGAACAGCACUGGCCAUGGCCAAGCAACACAGGCCGAACCCUCUUCCAUCUAGAAGGUGCCCGGUAGCAAGAACGCAAAGACCACGCUCUCCUCCCCUCCUCACGAUGUCACUUCUGCUCGGCCAUAUGUAUUGCUGGGUGUGACACUAUUGACUGGCUUUCAAGCAGUUUGGGUAGCAGAAAUUUUGUUGGGAAACAUUCAAACAUAGAUGAUUGAAUUCAAA